CAGCCGCCACGGUAAUACGUAGGUGGCAGGCGUUGUCCGGAAUUAUUGGGCGCAAAGGGCUCGCAGGCGGUUUCUUAAGUCUGAUGUGAAAGCCCCCGGCUCAACCGGGGAGGGUCAUUGGAAACUGGGAAACUUGAGUGCAGAAGAGGAGAGUGGAAUUCCACGUGUAGCGGUGAAAUGCGUAGAGAUGUGGAGGAACACCAGUGGCGAAGGCGACUCUCUGGUCUGUAACUGACGCUGAGGAGCGAAAGCGUGGGGAGCGAACAGGAUUAGAUACCCGCGUAGUCCCUGUCUCUUAUAC
rnacentral:rRNA from 1 species